GACUCGUUAGCUCAGUUGGUAGAGCAAUUGACUUUUAAUCAAUGGGUCUCUGGUUCGAGCCCAGUACGGGUCA
rnacentral:tRNA from 1 species